GUGGGGAAUAUUGGGCAAUGGGCGAAAGCCUGACCCAGCAACGCCGCGUGAAGGAAGAAGGUUUUCGGAUUGUAAACUUCUGUCCUCAGGGAAGAAGAAAGUGACGGUACCUGAGGAGGAAGCCCCGGCUAACUACGUGCCAGCAGCCGCGGUAAUACGUAGGUGGCGAGCGUUGUCCGGAAUGACUGGGCGUAAAGGGCGCGUAGACGGCUGUCUAAGUCUGGAGUGAAAGUCCUGCUUUCAAGGUGGGAAUUGCUUUGGAGACUGGAUGGCUUGAGUGCGGAAGAGGUAAGUGGAAUUCCCAGUGUAGCGGUGAAAUGCGUAGAGAUUGGGAGGAACACCAGUGGCGAAGGCGACUUACUGGGCCGUAACUGACGUUGAUGCGCGAAAGCGUGGGGAGCGAACAGGAUUAGAAACCCGGGUAGUCC
rnacentral:rRNA from 1 species